GAGAAGGGCUGGCCCCCGAUAGCAGAGUGUCAGUCAAUAAAGGCAUGACUGGCCCACUGCUAUCGGGGGCCAGCCCCCUCU
rnacentral:misc_RNA from 1 species